UAUUUUCAUCUCAAGUAAGACGAAUGGUGCGUUUCGAACAAUGGUGAAAUAUUACAUCAGCUCCUACUCAUAGGCAUGCCAGCCAGCCAUUUACUCGCCUUGAUGUUGUGUUGCCACCGCCAUGUUGCCCGUUCACUGGUCGGACGAAAGACGAACGGUAUUUGGCAGAGAACAAAGUAAAACCGGGUAAGCGAUUUUCGACCCGCCAGCAUUGCUUCCAACGAGCUUCUGAUAGUUGGUUGUAUGGCAGACAGGGAAAGCACGAGGACGCGGCAAGAGAGAAUUCGCAAUGGCCGGUUAACGCGACAAUGGAAUCAUCCUUCCACUUAUCCCUUGCAGACUCUCCUGUACCGCGACGUAUCCUUGCCUAACACAAGCGAAUAUGCACGCGCGGUGGCCUAUAUCUUUUGCUGUCUUGCAAUGUCGAGUAGAUACGUAGACUGUCCCCGACCCUUGGUCUACUCUCACCACUCGAGGAUGUUUCCGGGAAAUAAAUUACAUACUUACGGUAAAUUUCGAAAUGUCAACUGGCCGCAUACAUAGGGAAACCGACGCCUACGGCAGAUAAGUAUACGCUACUUCUAAUUUCUUCUCCUCACGCUUAGUGCUUUAAUAUCAGCGGCGCCCUGAAGGUUUCCACGCCGUUACACAAGAAUACAUUUAAAGUUGCUCUACAAGACAAAUUCAGCUGGUACAUCGUAUACUUCUCGGUAUCUUAUAUUUAAACACGACAAUGCGGUGACAUUUCAUGACCAGAUUGAAUAUAGUCAAUCUUGAACUAAAUUUAGGAUAAACAAAUACAAAAUAUGUAAAUAAAUACAGAGUAAGUCUUUGUGCCGGUUUAGAAUAAUACAAACAAAUUAAAUCGACUUUUAUGUCACUGCUAAGCAAAACAUAUAGUUGCCCCUGUGGCCAGUUAACGUUUUGAUUAUAUUCACUUAAAAAGCCUAUAACGACCCCCCAUUGGUAUAUUUGAUAAAAAGCAUAUUGGCGAGCAAUUACAAGUACAUAUUGUCAUCUAAGUAAAAAAAAAAAAAAAGUAUUAACCGGAUUGAGGCUAAAACUGAAACAAAUAGUAUUUUCAAAUUACAUACCGCUGUUGAGAUCGAUGAGCUUCUGUCACCUCUCUAUUAAUACCAUAAUCCGAUCAGUGUAACUUUCGUAUGAUUUCAUAUAGUGAAAAAUUGUGACAAAAUGCUUUUUACAUUCCUCCAUUUAGGGAGUUUUGCAAAGACUGGAACAGAUGGUAGGCUGAUAGUGCAAGGUUCCGCCUCUACAGCAAAUACAUGAAAUUUUCCCAUCUCAAUUCUCGCAGUGUUUGCCCGAUCGCUAGAGAUGUGUAUGAUCCGAUAUUAUUAUAGCGGAAGAUGAUCCCUUUUCUAAUAACUAAUUUCAACCAGUUUUUUCCAACGGCAUGUAUCGUAAUAAUGUUUGCAUUAGGGGGUCCGAAUCAGUUAUUUUUCCAACUAGCAUCAGUAGAGCAGCACCUCUUUGGCGUAAGUCCAAACUCUGCCAUAAAUCAUUAAACACAUUUUUCCAUCUGUUUUUGUUUUUUGUCUAUAUGAUACGGAGCCAUCUAGCUAAAAAUACUUCUUCAACAAGCAAAUAUAAUUGCAGCGUGCAACAUCUAGUCGAAGUUCAGUAUUAUCAUGCUCGCCUGUACACGAAGGAAGUUCCCGCACGGUUCCCCUGCUCGUUGAACAGCCUGUACGGAUUAACCACACGCAUCAAGCUACUGAGAGCGAGGAUCAAAGGGAGGUGAACUGACGAUCUAUUGAUACUGCACCUGCCGUUUUGGUAACCUGCAGCUGGACAGUGCAGCCGGCCUCAUUGUUUGUUUUACGUUACCUACUGAACGUCCUCCACCUAUCGCGCAACUGUUGUGCUGACGAGGAAAAGCCCUAGAGUGAUAGAAAGCUUUUGCGAAACAUUGUCGAGGUACUAGACUGCCACAUAGAUUUCUCAUAUACCCAUCGAUUCUUCUACGAGCCUGCGCAUUAAAAAGAAAGGAUGAAAAGAUUCUAGAGGCAUGUUCAAACAGCUAUGGCCUAGCGGAGAGAAACAACGCACGUAAGCAGAUAAAGCUACUUCGUGCACGCAAAUUCCGGCUGACCGUCGACUGCAUGAAACAUACAUACAUGUAGCGCCGUAUAUGGACUGUGUAUAAAUUAUCCUUUAAGGUCUCUGGACAUAACGAGAAGCCGCAAUAUAAGCCAUUUGCGACCGACCUUUCAGUUAUUUUCCUUUCCUUCAUUCUCCCCUCUCUGCGUUUGCUCUAUCUUCGUUUCAGGUUCUGCUUUGAAGGAGUGCUGAUCGUGCUGUGAGUAAUGUUAGUGCCUCCGGGAAUCGCUUCGACUGGGGCAUCAGCUACGCUAUUGGCUUCAGCUAGGCACUGGUGGGCACCGCGCCUCGCAUUGGCGUUGGCUCAACGUGUUAGUUCAUUCGUUCUUGCUGUGUUCAUCUGCAACCUAUUGCUGCCACCUAUUGUUCUAAUAUGUUCGCUAUAAUUAAGUCUUCUUGAUAAUCUAGUUACCCCCCAUCGAUAGAAUAAACAACUCCAGGACAAACGCGACAAUGGCCGUAGUCCUUUGCAGCUAGCGAAUCACCUGCACUUCCUGGAGGUAGCUUCGUCCGUCUGUGUGCCAAUCAGAAAGAGAGUAUUUAGUCAGGUGCAACUCGCAUGAAGCGUCGCCUGCGUCUACAGCGGGCAGUUGUACAAGAAGCAUGGGCCCAGAAGAUUCCCACUGCCUAAAUUUGUGCCUACCAACUUCUUUCGAAGACGCAAGACCCAGCUGCCCAGAACGGCCCGCAACAAUUAUUAGCCAAUAGCAGCAUCACGAACGUCAAUGAUGUUAGCACAUCUAAACUUACAACUGAGCAAACAACCGAGUGACGGACCGGAUGGACGAGACACAGAUGUAUCCCAGCUAUGAAAAUGAUGAGCAGGUUAAUAGUGACAACACUGAUGAUGAGAUGAAGCGUGGGAGCGACAGCGAGAAAGCGGAGGCUACGAUCUAGACAGACCGCUUCUGCAAGUACGGCACUCUAGGGCAUACUUCAGUUGCUGAAAAGAGCCAACGGCAAAAACCGGAAACAUUUCAUCGUUCCACCGGCCUCCAGCCGGAGCUUUUUCGGCGGCAUUUCAUCGCUUUGGAUAUGCUCUUGACAAGUGAGGAAAACGAUAUGUCAGUGAUUAAACAAAUUAACGACGUAAAGAUACAUAUGAUAAGGUACUGAAAAAAUAUCAGUCAAGUAUUAGUCGAAGUUCAAGGCUAAGGACAGCUACAACAGUACAACGAACCAGAGAUCCGUAACUAUAAUACACGUUAGUGCAGAAGCCUUUGAAAAAUGUGUAAAACUUCAGCUUGAAACUCAUAUGUUCAAUGUAUUUUUUUUCUCAAAUUGAAAUGGAGCCUUACGAUCUCAAGACGCGUUGAAACGAGCACAAUGACGAACACGGUAUAUAAUACAUACCGCUACAACCACACACAUGGGGCAUGUACCUUGAAUCAUUGCAUGUGUUUAAAAAAAACGUCGAAAGAGAGUCGAACGUUUUCGCCUCAGCUAACACCAGGCAUUCAGAUGUUCAACAUAGCGUGAUAAUUUCCUUGGGAUCUAGAUAAUCCAGUUCACUGCGACUAUGUUAGCUGAAACAAAUGGAAACCUGUUAUGGCCAGCGUAUCGCUUGACGCAAACCAGGUAAGCGAAUAUUCCGUAGUCUAAACAAAAGAAAAAUCGUGUAUGUGCUUUUCUCGGACUAUCCGGAGGACCCCUGUAUAGGGUUUGAUCAUUUUGUUGUACUUGGG